GCAUCCAUAGUCUAACGGAUAGAAUGUCAGACUCCGACUCUGAUGGUGUGGGUUCGAUUCCCGCUGGAUGCA
rnacentral:tRNA from 2 species